ensembl:lncRNA KC6 keratoconus gene 6
AUCAGCGAGACUCCGUGGGCGUAGGACCUCCGAGCCAGGUGCGGGAUGUAAUCUCGUGGUGCACCGUUUUUCUUAAGCCGGUCCGAAAAGCGCAAUAUUCGGUUGGGAGUGACCCGAUUUUCCAGAAAAACAUCAGAGAGAAAAAAAGAAACAAAAGCCAGUCUGAAGAAAUGGUUACAUUAUUUUCUACAAUGGCAAUUUCAGAAGUUGUUUUUCUUCAUGCAGAGAUAUGGAUAUGAGAGGCAUUCCUCCACAGAAGAGGCUUAACCACUUUGGCCCUUGAGAUCUUUACUUGAUCAAAACUUCUACAAGCGUGCUGGCAUGCUGGAGUCAGCUAGAAUUGGAUUGCCAGAGCCUGUUGUGUGCACCUGUCCCCAACUCUGUCCAGUGACCUCAGCCUCCUUUCACAGAGACUGAAUUUCAAUCAGCUGCUCUCAGUUGACAAUGAUAAAAUUAUCUCUAUAUGGGCAAAUGCGUGCUCUUUGUCGAAAAAGAAAGCUUCAGCUUCAUGUUCCAGGUGAGUUAAUUAGGCAAUGUAUGAAUGCUAAUAUCUCUU